UACGUAGGGUGCAAGCGUUGUCCGGAAUUAUUGGGCGUAAAGAGCUCGUAGGCGGUCUGUCGCGUCUGCUGUGAAAACUCAGGGCUUAACCCUGAGCUUGCAGUGGGUACGGGCAGACUAGAGUGCGGUAGGGGAGACUGGAAUUCCUGGUGUAGCGGUGAAAUGCGCAGAUAUCAGGAGGAACACCGGUGGCGAAGGCGGGUCUCUGGGCCGAUACUGACGCUGAGGAGCGAAAGCCGUGGGGAGCGAACAGG
rnacentral:rRNA from 1 species